UACGGACAUAUCAGGUUGAAACGCCGGCUCUCGUACGAUCAGCGAAGUUAGGCAACAUCGAGCCCGGGCAGUACUUAGAUGGGUAACCACUUGAU